AGUAAUAGUAUCAGGCGCGAUUCAUCAAAGUUGUUCCUGAUAAAAUUUAUUUUAUUUUAAAAUAAUUAAAUGAUUAUUAAUCUUCGUUCCUAUUUUUUUUUAUUUUAUUUUACUGUUCCACCGAUUCAUUUUCCUCUUUGAAUUCUCCAAUUCGGUAAGCGAUUCCAUGACAGCGUAGAGAUUCUCUGUGAAACCCACCAAUUUCUCAAGCUUCACCAUUUUAUGCACGAUGUUGGAACAAAAAUCAAGUUUCUUCAUAUUAAUAUCUCCGAGUCUCAAAUCGGCAUUUAGAAAAUUAAACCUCACAAGCUCCAAAUUGGUGGUCCCUCCGGCGAUCAAGCUCCGGUAUGAAGUUUAGCUCGGUAUCGAACAAUGUGUAGUGCUCUACUCCUCUCUUAAGAGUUCCGCAAUUUCGAUCAGCAUUUUGUAGGAUGUGAUUUUCUUGCCAUAUGAGAAUGUGCUUGUUAUACCCAAAAUUUGAUGAGCAUAUCAGAAGAGUACACGUGUCGAGCUGAAAAGAAUAAAGAACUCAAACACGCAAUCGUAAGUACACUUGGCAUGGAAUAACUCGUUAGAAACACAAUUUACAAAGUAUUUUUAUAACUCAGUUGGCUGAAGAGUCUUAUAUGAGACAGAAAUAUACUAACUGCUAACUUAUGUAUCGACGAGAAACCAUGACAAUGCAAGUGUGCAUGACGAGGUAUUAACCUCGUCUCAUAGAAGAGAUACGAUAACAAUAAAAAUACUUAGCGUAUAUGGCAUGAUAUACAAACUAAGUAUAAAUAGUUUGGGGAGUCAAGGUGAUGGAUAGCGAGGCGUCUAUCUCGCUGUAAGAUGGCAUGCACGUGAGAAAGAUCAUCUCGACACCAGAAACUAUAGUUAUCAAAAUUAAAACAAUAUCAACCUCGGGAAGUCAUAUGACGAGCACCAGCUCGACAUCAAAGUUAACUCGGUUCCAUUGCCAGUGAGGCAUCCCCAUAAAAGCGGGAUAUUCACAGCUGAGUGAAUUUUAAUAAAAGCUGUAUUUACUUAGCGUGAUUUGUAAUCAAAUCUCAUGAUUUGAGGAAAUAAUUACAGUAAAGAUCACAAUCAACUUUUGUAAUUAAAUGCCCACUGUAUAAUUAUAAAUAGGGGUAGAAAAGAUAAAAAGGGGACAAAAAAACUCAUACAAGAGAUACCCUGAGAAAAGCAAUAAAAAAUCUGAAUAAGAUUGACUCGUGGACUAUGCAGAAUUUUAACUGUAAAACCACGUAAAAAAAACUCUGUGUUCAUAUUUUUUAUUUUUAUAGCUUUUAUUUUUUCUGUGUGAAAUCACUACUGUGAGGCUCAAAUUUGGUUACCAAAAAAUCGUGGUCAACUAUGAUAGCUUUCUUGUUCGAAUACGCGAAGAUGAAAUUCCUAAUUUGAUAAAUAUUGUAAGGGCAAACCUAUUCCUCUUUCUCUACAUGUGAUUUGGAAGCUCUAUUUUGUAAGUCUCGACAGCCUAAGAUGAUGACUAAUUGGCGGUCGUUUCAAUACUCUAGGCAUUUAAUCAAACAGAAGUAGAAUUCAAACUAGCGAAUGUGCAGAAAAUUUGGCAGAGAUUCUUGUACCGCAAUUCUACGAUGCUUGAAGCCGAGAGGCAAUUUUCGCAGAUGCUUGAAGAUGAUGUUUUUGCUACAUUUUACAGGUAAAUAAUUAUCUUCUCAUGCAAAUGCAUUUAAUGUUAAAAUUACUAUGAAUGUAUGAAACUUAUUUAAAUGUUAUUAUUUUAGGACAAAGAUUCAGACCAGUAAAGACUGAACUCAAACCUUAAGAAAAAUGUUGAAAUAAGGUAUUAUUUUAGGACAAAGAUUCAGACCAGUAAAAGACUGAACUCUCCCAACAAAUAAGAACUUCUAAUUUAUGGUGUCUAGGCAAUUUGAAUUGUAAUUUUUUGAACUUCUCACAGUGAAUGAUAAAUAAGUUACCUGGAACAAUGUUGUAUUUCUGAUUUCAUGUUUAAUAAAGAAAAUUAGCUUUCACUGCAGCCAAAAAUAUAAAAUCUCCAAAAGCAUGUUAAUCUUCACUUUUAAUGGUCUUUAUAAGUGUCUUCAUCUUGAAUCACUCUACAAAUGUUAAAGCAAUAGUUCCUGUUAAAAAUAGUAUAGUGAGUACUUCUGAGAAAGAGUUAAGUAGUGUUUAAAGUUUCCCACAACUUCUAACUCUAUUUUGGUGAGAAAGACGAGGUCUAUGGUGGCGAUAUUGGAGAUCGAUAUGGUGGAAUUUUCUGAUUCUGAGAAAGAGAAGAUUGAUGAGGAUGCAGUGAAGAAUGACGAUGGAGCGAUACUCUCACCAAGAUUGAACAAGACUCUCUCGUAGUGGCUUUGCGUAAUGAAGAAGGCAGAGACGACUACAAAAUGAGGUGAACUCUUUCUUCCAACACCUUUUCUAAUUUUGAAUGCAGAUUAUGAAGCUGGGAUUGGGGAUUCUGAUAACACUAAAAUUAUAAGUAGUGCUGCUGGGAUAUUAGGAAAUGUUAGAGUUAAUGAUGAUGAUAUAGAAGAGGACGUACUCUGCUAUGGUAUGGUUUGUCUUUCGAUUUAUGUAUUUAUUUUAUACAUGAGUAGUUAGUGAGCUGUUCAAAAUAGUACUAAUUAAAUUUAUUGUCCUGCAAUCCAAAUAGUCUAUACAUAUGUAUAUUUUUAUUGCUAAUCAGAUGAAAUGUUUCAGGUCAAGUUGAGGUUUAGAACCUACUUUUAUGAAUUUUAUUGGAAUAAAAUCUGGACAAGUAAGAAGAAAUGGUUCUUAACAUUCUCCUAUUUCUCUCUCUAUUUUUAGUUUCAUCAAAACUUAUAACUAUAACUUCUCCUUCUUCUUCUUAUUUUACUUGUAGCAGUAUGAUUAUGGAUGAAGCUAAUAUUGGUAAACCAAUUGAAAAUAAAGAGGAAUUUAGCUCAAUUAGACAACAAAAAAAGUGAUAAUAUUGAUUUGAUUUUGUAAUUCUAGCAUAUAAUAUUCAUCUAUAAUGGCUAUGAAAGAAAUAAGUUAUGACUAUAGUUUCAUGAAUAAUAACCACUUAAUCUGUUUUGAAUUUUCAUGUACACUGAUGUUAUGGUUUAUAUAUUUGCACAUGUAUUUACCACACGCAUUUACUUAAUGCAGCUAAAAUGCUAUUAUGUGUUAAGAUAUACUCUUCAUAGAGAAAUUCUUAUGGUGUUUGAUGUCUCAACCAUGAUCUUUGGUGUUGAUGUAACACACCCACACCCUGGAGAGGAUUUUAGUCCCUCAAUAACAGUUGGAACACUUAUGUUCUUCCGUAGAGAAACAGGAGAAAGACCUAAACGGAUUAUAUUCUACAGAGAUGGUGUCAGUGAAGGACAGUUCAGUCAAGUGUUAAAUUACAUUGCAACACAUGAUGUCGAUGUCACAGAUGCCACAAAUAAUGUCGAUGCCACAAAUGCAACAACCACUGCAGAUUUUAGGAGUACAACUUACACCUUCGUAACAAACUCGAGGGAAUGAGAAUGGUGGUGAUGAUAAUGAAUCCACGUUUUAGAUGUUUAGUUUAUUAUUUUUGUUAGUAUGAACAUUUAUGAACACUUUUAAAUAUUGGAACAAUGUUUAGUAUUAAAUAUGCAAACAAUGUAUGAACUCUUUUAGUAUUAAAUAUAAAAAUAUUUUGUUUUUAAGGAAAUUA